rnacentral:rRNA from 1 species
UACGUAGGGUGCGAGCGUUAAUCGGAAUUACUGGGCGUAAAGCGUGCGCAGGCGGUUUUGUAAGUCUGACGUGAAAUCCCCGGGCUUAACCUGGGAAUUGCGUUGGAGACUGCAAGGCUGGAGUCUGGCAGAGGGGGGUAGAAUUCCACGUGUAGCAGUGAAAUGCGUAGAGAUGCGGAGGAACACCGAUGGCGAAGGCAGCCCCCUGGGCUAACACUGACGCUGAGGCACGAAAGCGUGGGGAGCAAACAGG